rnacentral:rRNA from 1 species
AACAAACGCUGGCGGCGUGCCUAAUACAUGCAAGUCGAACGGGGAAAGCUUUCGGGUGAGUACUAGUGGCGCACGGGUGAGGAACGCGUGGAUAAUCUGCCUUAGAGUGGGGGAUAACUAGUCGAAAGAUUAGCUAAUACCGCAUAAGACCACGAGAGCUGCGGCUUUUGAGGUCAAAGGUUUUUCGCUCUAAGAUGAGUCCGCGUAAGAUUAGCUAGUUGGUGAGGUAACGGCUCACCAAGGCGACGAUCUUUAACUGGUCUGAGAGGAUGAUCAGUCACACUGGAACUGAGACACGGUCCAGACUCCUACGGGAGGCAGCAGUAGGGAAUAUUGCACAAUGGAGGAAACUCUGAUGCAGCGACGCCGCGUGAGUGAUGAAGGCCUUCGGGUCGUAAAGCUCUGUCGCAGGGGAAUAACACAAUGAAGGUACCCUGUAAGAAAGGAUCGGCUAACUUCG